rnacentral:rRNA from 1 species
GUGGGGCUGCGUUUGUUAUUCGGGAGCCGCAGGCCUCCCGGGUAACCUACCACCCUUUGUUUAUUACACUUUGUUGCUUUGGCAGGCCUGCCCUCGGGCUGCUGGCUCCGGCCGGCGAGCGCUUGCCAGAGGACCUAAACUCUGUUUGUCUAUACUGUCUGAGUACUAUAUAAUAGUUAAAACUUUCAACAACGGAUCUCUUGGUUCUGGCAUCGAUGAAGAACGCAGCGAAAUGCGAUAAGUAAUGUGAAUUGCAGAAUUCAGUGAAUCAUCGAAUCUUUGAACGCACAUUGCGCCCCCUGGUAUUCCGGGGGGCAUGCCUGUCCGAGCGUCAUUACAACCCUCAAGCUCAGCUUGGUGUUGGGCCCCGCCGCCCCGGCGGGCCCUAAAGUCAGUGGCGGUGCCGUCCGGCUCCGAGCGUAGUAAUUCUUCUCGCUCUGGAGGUCCGGUCGUGUGCUUGCCAUCAACCCCCAAUUUUUUUCAGGUUGACCUCGGAUCAGGUAGGGAUACCCGCUGAACUUAAGCAUAUCAAUAAGCAGAGGAAUAC